rnacentral:rRNA from 1 species
AACGAACGCUGGCGGCAGGCUUAACACAUGCAAGUCGAACGCACCCUUCGGGGUGAGUGGCAGACGGGUGAGUAACGCGUGGGAACCUACCUUUUGGUACGGAAUAACUCAGGGAAACUUGAGCUAAUACCGUAUGUGCCCUUCGGGGGAAAGAUUCAUCGCCAAAGGAUGGGCCCGCGUCGGAUUAGCUAGUUGGUGGGGUAACGGCCUACCAAGGCGACGAUCCGUAGCUGGUCUGAGAGGAUGAUCAGCCACACUGGGACUGAGACACGGCCCAGACUCCUACGGGAGGCAGCAGUGGGGAAUAUUGGACAAUGGGCGCAAGCCUGAUCCAGCCAUGCCGCGUGAGUGAUGAAGGCCUUAGGGUUGUAAAGCUCUUUCGCCGGUGAAGAUAAUGACGGUAACCGGAGAAGAAGCCCCGGCUAACUUCGUGCCAGCAGCCGCCGUAACAC